CUGUGAGAUUACAUAUGCAUAUAGUGUUAAUUCUAUAAAAAUGUAGUAUCAACUCACAAAGUUAUCAGGUUAAAUUAGCUUUACCAAUGAAUAAAAAUGUUGUUGCACAGCUAAUAAUGUUAUACCGUGGUCCCGCCACGGUAUCUAGAAAAAUUUUUAAUAUUUAGAUUCUUGCUUCCGCAGGAAUGAUAAAUUUAGUCAUGCAACAACAUUAACAGCAAACUAUAAUACAAAUCUAUCUUUUUA
rnacentral:misc_RNA from 1 species